GUUUAAUUAGCUGGAACUAAUAAAUGUUGUUUUCAUUACCUUGAAAUGAGUCUUUCACAUCUAAAGUUGGAGCCGGUCGUCUGCACGGAAUCAGACGUUUUGCAUGUUGGAGCCCAGAACAGACAAACCGCGUCCGUCAUGAAACUUGGACGGAUCGACGGUUUCUCAGCCCGGAACAGACCCGCUAACUUUUGAUGGACGAAUCCAGGAAUGUUUUUCUUGCUUUCUUUAACUCAGGAAUGAAAGAAAAUGUUGGAAAUAAAAGCGCUCUUAUGAAU